rnacentral:lncRNA from 1 species
CCAACAUGGCAGUGGCUCAGGAGGUGCUAUUUGGAAACAGCUUUAGCAUCAACUUUGGACCAUUUAGAAUUCUUCUUCUGCGUCUUUUUCUUCUUCUGCAUCUUCUUCUUCUGCAUCUGCAUCUUCUUCUUCUGCGUCUUUUUCUUCUUCUGCGUCUUCUUCUUCUGCGUCUUCUUCUUCUGCGUCUUUUUCUUCUUCUUCUGCGUCUUCUUCUUCUGCAUCUGCAUCUUCUUCUGCGUCUUUUUCUUCUUCUGCAUCUUCUUCUUCUGCGUCUUCUUCUUCUGCGUCUUUUUCUUCUUCUUCUGCGUCUUCUUCUUCUUCUUCUGCGUCUUCUUCUUCUGCGUCUUCUUCUUCUUCUUCUUCUUCUUCUUCUGCAUCUGCAUCUUCUUCUUCUGCGUCUUCUUCUUCUUCUCCUCCUUUUUCUUCUGCGUCUGUGUCUUCUUCUUCUUCUGUGAUUCUGCUUCUUCUUCUUCAUCAUCAUCUUGUGCUUCUGCUUCUUCUUCUUGUUCUUCUGCUUCCUCUUCUUGUGCUUCUGCUGAUUCAUCUUCAUCUUCUUUUGCUUCAGCUUCAUCUUCUUCUUUUUCUUCUUGUGCUUCUGCUUCUGCUUCAUCUUCAUCUUCUUCUUGUGCUUCUACUUAUUAUUCUGCUUCAUCUUCUUGUGCUUCUGCUUCUUGUGCUUGUGCUUCUGCUUCUUCUUGUUCUUCUUGUGCCUCUUCUUCUUCUUCUUCUUGUGCUUCUGCUUCUUCAUCUUCUUCUUGUGCUUCUGCUUUUUCAUCUUCUUGUGCUUGUGCUUGUGCUUCUUCUUGUUCUUCUUGUGUCUCUUCUUCUUCUUCUUGUGCUUCUGCUUCUUCUUCUUCUUUUGCUUCUGCUUCCUCUGCUUCAUCUUCUUCAUCGUCUUGUAUUUCAUCUUCUUGUGCUUCUGCUUCAUCUUCUUCUCUUCUUCUGCUUCUUCAUCUUCUUUUCUUCUUCUGCUUCUUCAUCUUCUGUUCUUCUUCUUGUGCUUCUUCUUCUUCUUCUUCUUCUUCUUCUUCUUCUUCUUCUUCUUCUUCUUCUUCUUCUUCUUCGAUCUGUGGUUCGCAUCCAAAGACUAGAUUUAUAUUGUCUAAGAAGUUUUUUUCUUUAAAAUUUAAGGUUCUUUUUUUUAUUUUCAUAACUGUAACAUGCGUAAAGCCAGGAAGCAAAGGGCAAAAAUAUCCAGUUACCAUGGUGACCCCAAUAAACUGCUGGUGGUACUUCAGCCUGGUUUCUACUGCGGAGACACGCAACACCAUUAUUUGUGAUUGCAAGGGCUCUCAAACAGGCAGACAAGAACAAAUGAACCAGUGUCCAAUUUUCUAA